UACGUAGGUGGCAAGCGUUGUCCGGAAUUACUGGGCGUAAAGAGCUCGUAGGUGGUUUGUCGCGUCGUCUGUGAAAUUCCGGGGCUUAACUCCGGGCGUGCAGGCGAUACGGGCAAACUGGAGUGCUGUAGGGGAGACUGGAAUUCCUGGUGUAGCGGUGGAAUGCGCAGAUAUCAGGAGGAACACCGAUGGCGAAGGCAGGUCUCUGGGCAGUUACUGACACUGAGGAGCGAAAGCAUGGGUAGCGAACAGG
rnacentral:rRNA from 1 species